UGCGCAGUUAGAAUUGUUUCCUAGUAAAACUUGUUUUAAAAAAGUCAUUAGGUCAAGUAGCCUUACUCAUAUGUUUGGGCACGAAACCGCUUGGUUCUAUGAUUACAGACUCGGGUUUAGCCUCAUUUCAGCGUCAGAAUAUUCACGAAUACCGACGGUAAAGCUACUCAACUUCAACAAUACAAACACUUCGAAAUUCCAUGGCCCAUCACUGGAACACAGUCUCAUUAAUGUAAUAACAAAUGUCAAUCUUAUACGUACAGUGAAUAUUCUAUACCGGGCAAAAUCGAGGCUAACCCCGGCUGAGCAAUAGAAAACUGGAAACUGAAGUAUUCUAGCUCUACAGGUUAUCUCUCCUGAAGCUGCCACGACUUUUAGAAGAAACGGUUUAAACAUUCCCUCGUGCUGAGCGACCAAUCCGUAUGUGACAUACAACAGGGAAUGGCAUCCAAAGGAUAUUUCAAAGACAAAGAUAGAUGGAAAAGGACGCUCGUAAUGAUAGUCAUUGUGCAAUUGUCCUCGCUAUAAAAAUGAGAAAACUGAAAUAACUAUAAGGUAUUGACAUUGAUUCCUACCUCGUCC